rnacentral:misc_RNA from 1 species
UAGUGCAGUAUAAAUACACAUGUGAUUCAUAUGAGUACUGUGGCCAAAGUACAGAUGUAAAUAAGUUUAGCUGACUAUCUCACUGCAACUCGUAACGGAUCAUCGUGGACAGCUGAUAACAGUGCCGGAAAGAUAGGCCAGACUUUUCUACUUCCAGGAGCUACUGGAAUCUAUUGUAAAUAUAUAACAAUUAGCGCAAAGUUUAUAUAAAGCAUAUUUUUAGUGAUCACAUCUAAAAUUAAAAGUCAAGUGUUUCAUAUUAUAAACAAUAAUAAUUAGAAAAAUUUGUUUUCGUUGUGUUAAUAUUUGGAGGACAAAUACUUCAAUGUAGCUCAUAUCAAGUUGGCUAAACACAAUAUUUAUACAGACAAAAACCUGGCGCU